rnacentral:rRNA from 1 species
UGGUUCAACGGCCGCGGUAUUUUGACCGUGCAAAGGUAGCGUAAUCACCUGUCUUUUAAAUAAAGACCUGUAUGAAUGGCAAGACGAGGGUUUUACUGUCUCCUCCCCCCAGUCAAUGAAAUUGAUCUACCCGUGCAGAAGCGGGUAUAAAAACAUAAGACGGGAAGACCCUAUGGAGCUUUAGGCACCAACCAAAUAUGUAAAAGACCAAACUUCCCAAAAGACCUAAAAACGAGAAAAACAAGUAUUUAUGAUAAAGUGCCUUCGGUUGGGGCGACCACGGGGAAAAACAAAACCCCCACAUGGAAUGGGAAAAAUAACCCUAAGCCAAGAAAAACACUUCUAAGCAACAAAAUUUUUGACCAAUAAACGACCCAGGGGCCCACCCCUGAGCAAUGAACCAAGUUACCCUAGGGAUAACAGCGCAAUCCUUUCCCAGAGCCCAUAUCAACGAAAGGGUUUACGACCUCGAUGUUGGAUCAGGGCAUCCUAACGGUGCAGCGCUGUUAAGGGUUCGUUUGUUCAACGAUUAAUAGCCCUA